rnacentral:lncRNA from 1 species
AUUUGAACUCUUUUCCUAGCUCACUUUUUGAGUUAAUAUCAUGAUUACCUUAAUCUAUAAGAAUCACCAAUAUCUAAUUUUGUGUCCUUUAUCAAAACUCUUUCAAGACUAAGGAAUACCUUAUGAUGAGCGUAUCUAAUUUCAACGCCAGAAUAUGAAAGAAAAAAAACAGAACUACAGCAACAAACAAUUUUCUUAUUGUCAUCACCAGAAUAGGAUGUUUCCUGUUACGAAGACUUCUCAUGUGUUGAAAUCUUCAUAUACUGUGGCACGCUGCUAGGUGCUGCCGAGAACGGAAGGGUGCGUUCAAACAGCAGCCAGACUUGGCUCAGGGGCACGGGAAGUGGAACUGGACAGGACAAAUCAGUACCCAAGAGUAGGAUGACCAGGAUGGAGAGAAACUCAACAAACCCCUGCCUUGGGACCUGAGGCUAACGUGAAAAACUCUGGGCCAUGCAAAACUGGGUGAUGAUUUGAAGACAGACAAGGCACAGUGAGAAUGGAGAUUGAAGAGCUGGUGAAGAAUGUUCUCAGAUGUGUACAUUUGGACAGGUUUUACAUGACAUGGGAGCCUUCAAAAGGAAUGAAGACAUGAAGAGAAACAAUGGCUUUUAGACCCCAUGCGUGAAUCUGUCUCCAUGAAAGCAAAGUCAUGCACGCGAAUCGCCCAACAUCUCCCCCGCUCAGGUUCCUACUGGGUUUCUGGAUGGCAGAGUGAGGAGCACGCUUUGGAGACAUGGAGCCCACGAUACCUUUCAGACAAAAGGCAGCACAGGAAUAUAAUCCAUGACAGGAAUAUAAUCCACAUAAGGAGGUGAUCCCUUGAUGCCUUAGCUUUCUGCCUAGAGGAUUCUUCUGGAUGAUGGCCCAGGAACAAGGAGCCCAAGAAAAGCAUGGGGGCUCACUGAGAUGAGGUGACAGAGAUCAGAGUUCAGAGGGCUGAGAUCACUGGCUCAAAGGCAAUUUCACAGAACUCCUUAACAAAGAAGGAAAUGAAAGCUCAGUGAAAUUAAGAUCUGUAGUUUCCUAGAGUGUAUCCUUCAUAACCCACAAGGACUGGACACGUGGUGGAUUAUCAGGUAUUCAGUAGUCAUGACACCUGCUGCUAAGAGAUUGGCUGAGAUUCAUUUAACUUUGAAAUAGGAAAGUCUCCUUUUUGGGCAGUGAUGUGUAGACAGGGUUUCUUUCAAUAAUGUCUUUAAAUGGACUGAGGCAAAGCCUGUCAGGUGAUUCAUGCAUCACAUUGACAUUCCAGAGUCAGAUUGCACAAU